UCCAGACCCCGGCCCGAGCACGGAGCGCGUGGAUUCACUUCGCACCACAGUCGCUUAAGGCGCUCGGCCACUUUGCCUCAUUUUGCAAAAGAAGACAAUAAUGGUUGCGAGAGCGCGCCAGGCCCAGCCACAAGGCAAAAGGUGGAGCUGGAGCAGGGCAGGGGGGCUGGGCACCUGGGUCCGAGAUACUGCAGUGGAAACUAAGGCCAGAACUCUGACUCCCAAGCCAAACACUGCUUCAGCCUAGGCCGCCUCGGCCUCCCCGUUCCUGAGAAGACACUCCCGACAGGGCUCACAUGUUCCUGGCUGGAGAUAGAGUCCAGUCACCAACGGCCAGUGAUUUCAUCAUAUGUACAUAAUGGAGCCUCUGCAAAAACCCAACAAGGAGGGCUCGGGAAGCACAUGACGGUGCUGCCUACAUGAUGGGCGGUGGCACAUCUGGAGAAAGCAUGGAAGCCCAGUGCCAUUCUUCGCUCCCUGCCUUCACCAUCUACCUCCUCCGGCUGUUGGGAGUGUUUUCCUGAGCACUGUGAGCCAUUCUGGCAAACCAAGGGGGGGAGCCGAGGGAACCCCUGAUGUAUAGCCAGAGGGUCAGAAGUUUGGGUGGCCCGAGACUUGUGGCAGGUGUCUGAAGUCGGGGCGGUCUUGUGUGGGACUGAGCCCUUAACCUGUGGGGUCUGAUGCCAGCUCCAAGAAUUGAAAUCCAGUAGGUGCCAGAAAACUGGAGGGAGCUUGUGCCUCCAAGUGACAAGUGACCUGGGAAUGUGUGCAGAGACCAGAGAGGUCCCCAGCCCCAGGCCUGGGGAGCCCUAGCAUUCAUUGGGCAGCCUGCAGGAGGUGCCAGGAAGAUGGUGGGUGCCAGGAAGAUGGUGGGGGUGCCAGGCUCCCCGGAAGGGCAGUGGGGUGGCUGGGUGGGGGGCUGGGAGGGACGUGGCCUCGGGCUGCUUCUAAUCCUGGCAGACAAAUGGGCACCGUACAGUGAUCGCAGGGACCACCUGGGGACCCCGGUGGGGCUCUCGAGGGCAGGGGCAGGGCUGUCUCAGCCACCGAGUGCCAGUGCCCAGGUGGAGCCUGGCGCACAGGAGGGACUGUGGGAUCGGAGUGCCGGCAAGAUGACACCUGGGGAUGUCGUCCAACAAGUGGCCGGAAUGGUGGGCGGCCCCUAGCCCCUCGGCCAUGGUACAGAUUGUGACCUUGGGAAGACCCUUCUGGGGCUGGGGGGCUGGACUUGUGACAUCCUUGGCGCGGGAAGGAUGGUCACGGGACUGCCUGCCGCUGAGGUGCCGGGGGUGACGGCCACCCUGGGAGGCACGGGGGCUGCAGGGGAGUCUGGUGGAGGGCCUAGGGAGUCGGGUGGGCAAGGCGAAGCUGAGGCAUGACGGGGUUGAAGGAGGCAGACGCUGGCCCUGGACUCCGGACCGUGGGGGAGAGAGAUGUUAUCCCCGAGAAGAACGGUACGGGCAGGCCGCCCGGGGAGCAGGGUACACUCUGCCCCACAGGGCCUGCUUGACCUUGUCUCCUGCGCCCCUUGGAUUCCCAGGCCACCUUAGAACUCGGACCAAGGCUGCUGGCCAGCAGGGCUGUCCCGGAGGCUAAGGCCCACAGCCCCUGACCCCUGGACCCCUUUAAUCCCAGUCUUACUCUUUAUCUAUUUUUCCUUCCUAAGAUAAACACCCACCCGCACUACGUCCUUCAAGAACAGGACCCUGACCCCUGCCUUGCCUUCAGCUCCUCACCUGGAACAUGGGACAAGGACAGCCAUCCCUGCUGGCAUCCCGGGCCUGUGGGAUUCCACUGGGCCUCAGCGUCCCCAUCCCCAUCAUGGGCACAGGGGCGGCCCCAGCGAGCCGGCCUAGUUGGGAGAAACAAUAAAAUAGUGCCGUCACC